UAUCUGGUUGAUCCUGCCAGUAGUCAUAUGCUUGUCUCAAAGAUUAAGCCAUGCAUGUCUAAGUACAAACCUUAAUACGGUGAAACCGCGAAUGGCUCAUUAAAUCAGCUAUGGUUCCUUAGAUCGUCUCAUCCUACUCGGAUAACUGUGGAAAAUCUAGAGCUAAUACGUGCUUACAAGCCCUGACCUCACGGGAGGGGCGCAUUUAUUAGAUCAAAACCAAUCGGGCUUGCCCCGUCUGCUUGGUGACUCUGGAUAACUUUUG
rnacentral:ncRNA from 1 species